ensembl:snoRNA
GUCCUCCUAAUGCUUACCACAGACGGUACACCCUAGUACUGGCUGUAUAGAAACGGGAGGAACAUCAACCGUCCCCUAACACAUGUGUUCUCCCAGCUGCUGUCUGGUGGGGCAUUGCUGUUGGGUGAGACAUCC